CUGGGGGUGGGGGCGAGGGCAACAAAAUCUCCUUUGGAGCCAACAGAGAUCAUCCGCGCGGGAGGAACCCCGUGCAAGAUCCCGAGUGAGCUGGGAACAGACACGGGGACACCCGGGGGACAAAGGGCCGCCAGCAUUUAUAAAACAGGGAAAGAAUGAAAACGCAACACAAAGCCCUGCGGUUCCACACACAGCCAAGGUACGCACACACGCCACUGAAGGCAGGAAAAUGGGGAACAAAGGAUGUCAUAGCAACCUCGGCGAGCCUGCCGUGCACCCGUGCAGCCGGCUGUAGCGCACAUGGUCAUCCAUCAAGAAACCUGCGGCACCCGGACACCACGUUCACGCAGGAAGAAGAGUGGCCCCCAGCCAGAGAGCCCCAGGACGGCAGUGCACUCGUGUCCCCCUUCCUUUCCUCCCCGCUGCCCCCAAAUCCAUGGCACAUCUGUGCCCAGAUUCUCCCUCCUUUCCCAACAGCUGCUUGUCUGAAACGCAGGGAACCUGAAUCUGCAUCCGGGUCUCUUCUGUAUUAAUAGACAUCAUUUCUUUGCACUUUCUUGGGGUUGGAAUGGGGGAAGCUCUGUGACACUGGAGGAAAAAGACAAGAGGAGCGUUUUCACCAGCAAGCCUUGGAAUUCGGUGGAAAAUAAAAGAGAACUUUUACAGGAACCUAAUGGAGAUAUUGACAUGUGUGGCUGGAAAUCUAAACUUAGCAAAGUGUAAGGCAAGAGCAGGCUUUCUCACUUUAUUUCUGUAUCUGGAAAGUUUCAGCUGCUGGUACCGUAUGAAUAUUUAUUAAUGCAUUGUGAAUCCGAACCUGUGAUUAUUACUCAAACUAUCUUUUUUACCUUACAAGAUUCAACUCAGAAGAAUAAAAACACAUCUGCUUUUGCUCUUCCCAUAUUUUAUUCAAUGUUUUAACAGCUUUGCUGUAAAUAUCUCAUCCAUUACGAUUCAGUUGUGACUAUAUCGGCUUCCCGUCUCCUGUUUUAUUACUGUCAUCGCACUGAAACAACACACUGUUAAUUCUGUUAACUAACAAGUUCAUUGUUCCAGCUAGUCAGCCAUCUCCCAUUUGUUGGGUCCACAUGCUAAAAGAGAAUUGGUUAUAAAUCAGCCAAGGGCCUGAGUGAGGCGUGUUCCCUUUGUUCAGAUGAGUGG